rnacentral:rRNA from 1 species
GAUGAACGCUGGCGGCGUGCCUAAUACAUGCAAGUCGAGCGAGUGGAUUGAGAGCUUGCUCUUAUGAAGUUAGCGGCGGACGGGUGAGUAACACGUGGGUAACCUGCCCAUAAGACUGGGAUAACUCCGGGAAACCGGGGCUAAUACCGGAUAACAUUUUGAACCGCAUGGUUCGAAAUUGAAAGGCGGCUUCGGCUGUCACUUAUGGAUGGACCCGCGUCGCAUUAGCUAGUUGGUGAGGUAACGGCUCACCAAGGCAACGAUGCGUAGCCGACCUGAGAGGGGGAUCGGCCACACUGGGACUGAGACACGGCCCAGACUCCUACGGGAGGCAGCAGUAGGGAAUCUUCCGCAAUGGACGAAAGUCUGACGGAGCAACGCCGCGUGAGUGAUGAAGGCUUUCGGGUCGUAAAACUCUGUUGUUAGGGAAGAACAAGUGCUAGUUGAAUAAGCUGGCACCUUGACGGUACCUAACCAGAAAGCCACGGCUAACUACGUGCCAGCCGCCGCAGUAA